GAGGAAGUAUUCCCGAUAUGUGCCUUAUUGAGUACACGAGAGAAGUUUCUGUUGGUGGCAAUCAGCAACCUCAUCGCUAUGCUGCAAUAUCUCCACGUUAGAGAAGAACAGCAUCACUCUGAUAACUGUACGAUGAGCAUGAAGCUACGGCACAAAGACUGGAAACCAUGGGAAACUGCUAGCCUGGCUUUCAUUUGCAAAGUAAGUUGCUGUCAAAGUGUAGGCUAUGAUCAAAUAAACCACAAGUACUUAACUAAGUAUCACAGUCAUCGCUCUGUCAGCACUUGAAUAAAUGUACUUUGUUAUAUUCUUCCUCUGAAAAGGGGGCCAGCAGUCAUAGUGUCUGUUCUCCCACAGUAUUAAAAAUCCAGCA
ensembl:lncRNA